rnacentral:RNase_P_RNA from 1 species
GAGUUGGUCAGGCAGUCGCUUUUUUACUUUGCAAUAUAAGUAAAAAAGAGGAAAGUCCGGGCUCCAACAGGGCAAGGUACCAGGUAACGCCUGGGGGGUGUAAGCCCACGGAAAGUGCAGCAGAAAAUAAACCGCCCAGCCUCGGCUGGGUAAGGGUGAAAUGGUGCGGUAAGAGCGCACCGCGUGACUGGCAACAGGAGCGGCAUGGUAAACCCUACCUGGAGCAAGAUCAAAUAGAGAAGCUGACGCAUGGCCCAUGCGGCUUCUGGGUAGAUCGCUUGAGCCAUAAGGUGACUUAUGGCCUAGAUGAAUGACUGUCCUAGACAAAACCCGGCUUAUCGACCAACUC